GGUCAAGCUACAAAGGGCUCACGGCGGAUACCUUGGCACACAGAGGCGAUGAAGGACGUGGUUACCUGCGAUAAGUCUCGGGGAGCUGGAAACACGCUUUGAUCCGGGAAUUUCCGAAUGGGGCAACCCUUAGAACGGCCAGCUGAAUCUAUAGGCUGGCGCGAGCCAACCCAG
rnacentral:rRNA from 1 species